GAUUCGUCACACUAUCAUUAACUGAAUCCAUAGGUUAAUGAGGCGAACCGGGGGAACUGAAACAUCUAAGUACCCCGAGGAAAAGAAAUCAACCGAGAUUCCCCCAGUAGCGGCGAGCGAACGGGGAGGAGCCCAGAGCCUGAAUCAGCAUGUGUGUUAGUGGAAGCGUCUGGAAAGGCGCGCGAUACAGGGUGACAGCCCCGUACACAAAAGCGCAUGUGCUGUGAGCUCGAUGAGUAGGGCGGGACACGUGGUAUCCUGUCUGAAUAUGGGGGGACCAUCCUCCAAGGCUAAAUACUCCUGACUGACCGAUAGUGAACCAGUACCGUGAGGGAAAGGCGAAAAGAACCCCGGCGAGGGGAGUGAAAAAGAACCUGAAACCGUGUACGUACAAGCAGUGGGAGCACCCUUCGGGGUGUGACUGCGUACCUUUUGUAUAAUGGGUCAGCGACUUAUAUUCUGUAGCAAGGUUAACCGUAUAGGGGAGCCGGAGGGAAACCGAGUCUUAACCGGGCGUUAAGUUGCAGGGUAUAGACCCGAAACCCGGUGAUCUAGCCAUGGGCAGGUUGAAGGUUGGGUAACACUAACUGGAGGACCGAACCGACUAAUGUUGAAAAAUUAGCGGAUGACCUGUGGCUGGGGGUGAAAGGCCAAUCAAACCGGGAGAUAGCUGGUUCUCCCCGAAAGCUAUUUAGGUAGCGCCUCGUGAAUUCAUCUCCGGGGGUAGAGCACUGUUUCGGCUAGGGGGCCAUCCCGGCUUACCAACCCGAUGCAAACUGCGAAUACCGGAGAAUGUUAUCACGGGAGACACACGGCGGGUGCUAACGUCCGUCGUGAAGAGGGAAACAACCCAGACCGCCAGCUAAGGUCCCAAAGUCAUGGUUAAGUGGGAAACGAUGUGGGAAGGCCCAGACAGCCAGGAUGUUGGCUUAGAAGCAGCCAUCAUUUAAAGAAAGCGUAAUAGCUCACUGGUCGAGUCGGCCUGCGCGGAAGAUGUAACGGGGCUAAACCAUGCACCGAAGCUGCGGCAGCGAACGUAUCACCCAAGACAACUUUACGGAGUUGACGAUUGACGGAGCGAAGCGACGUCAAAGCGUUCAUUAAAGUCGAGUUGGCUUAGGGAUACGUUCGUUGGGUAGGGGAGCGUUCUGUAAGCCUGUGAAGGUGUGUCGUGAGGCAUGCUGGAGGUAUCAGAAGUGCGAAUGCUGACAUAAGUAACGAUAAAGCGGGUGAAAAGCCCGCUCGCCGGAAGACCAAGGGUUCCUGUCCAACGUUAAUCGGGGCAGGGUGAGUCGACCCCUAAGGCGAGGCCGAAAGGCGUAGUCGAUGGGAAACGGGUUAAUAUUCCCGUACUUGGUGUUACUGCGAAGGGGGGACGGAGAAGGCUAUGUUGGCCGGGCGACGGUUGUCCCGGUUUAAGCGUGUAGGUGUGUGUUCCAGGUAAAUCCGGUUCACUUUAACACUGAGGCGUGACGACGAGGCACUACGGUGCUGAAGCAACAAAUGCCCUGCUUCCAGGAAAAGCCUCUAAGCAUCAGGUAACACGAAAUCGUACCCCAAACCGACACAGGUGGUCAGGUAGAGAAUACCAAGGCGCUUGAGAGAACUCGGGUGAAGGAACUAGGCAAAAUGGUGCCGUAACUUCGGGAGAAGGCACGCUGACACGUAGGUGAAGUGAUUUACUCACGGAGCUGAAGUCAGUCGAAGAUACCAGCUGGCUGCAACUGUUUAUUAAAAACACAGCACUGUGCAAACACGAAAGUGGACGUAUACGGUGUGACGCCUGCCCGGUGCCGGAAGGUUAAUUGAUGGGGUCAGCGCAAGCGAAGCUCCUGAUCGAAGCCCCGGUAAACGGCGGCCGUAACUAUAACGGUCCUAAGGUAGCGAAAUUCCUUGUCGGGUAAGUUCCGACCUGCACGAAUGGCGUAAUGAUGGCCAGGCUGUCUCCACCCGAGACUCAGUGAAAUUGAACUCGCUGUGAAGAUGCAGUGUACCCGCGGCAAGACGGAAAGACCCCGUGAACCUUUACUAUAGCUUGACACUGAACAUUGAGCCUUGAUGUGUAGGAUAGGUGGGAGGCUUUGAAGUGUGGACGCCAGUCUGCAUGGAGCCGACCUUGAAAUACCACCCUUUAAUGUUUGAUGUUCUAACGUGGACCCGUAAUCCGGGUUGCGGACAGUGUCUGGUGGGUAGUUUGACUGGGGCGGUCUCCUCCUAAAGAGUAACGGAGGAGCACGAAGGUUGGCUAAUCCUGGUCGGACAUCAGGAGGUUAGUGCAAUGGCAUAAGCCAGCUUGACUGCGAGCGUGACGGCGCGAGCAGGUGCGAAAGCAGGUCAUAGUGAUCCGGUGGUUCUGAAUGGAAGGGCCAUCGCUCAACGGAUAAAAGGUACUCCGGGGAUAACAGGCUGAUACCGCCCAAGAGUUCAUAUCGACGGCGGUGUUUGGCACCUCGAUGUCGGCUCAUCACAUCCUGGGGCUGAAGUAGGUCCCAAGGGUAUGGCUGUUCGCCAUUUAAAGUGGUACGCGAGCUGGGUUUAGAACGUCGUGAGACAGUUCGGUCCCUAUCUGCCGUGGGCGCUGGAGAACUGAGGGGGGCUGCUCCUAGUACGAGAGGACCGGAGUGGACGCAUCACUGGUGUUCGGGUUGUCAUGCCAAUGGCACUGCCCGGUAGCUAAAUGCGGAAGAGAUAAGUGCUGAAAGCAUCUAAGCACGAAACUUGCCCCGAGAUGAGUUCUCCCUGAGAC
rnacentral:rRNA from 1 species